rnacentral:pre_miRNA from 17 species
GACCGUACGGGAUAAUCGAUUAUCCCAUGCGGUCAAAUUAAGUGGCCCGCACAGGAUAAUAGGUUAUCCCAGACGGCU